rnacentral:rRNA from 1 species
CCUACGGGUGGCAGCAGUGGGGAAUAUUGGACAAUGGGCGGAAGCCUGAUCCAGCAAUACCGCGUGUGUGAAGAAGGCCUGAGGGUUGUAAAGCACUUUCAAUAGGAAGGAAUACCUAUCCAUUAAUACUGGGUAGUCUGACAUUACCUAUACAAGAAGCACCGGCUAACUCCGUGCCAGCAGCCGCGGUAAUACGGAGGCUGCAAGCGUUAAUCGGAAUUACUGGGCGUCGACCGUGCAAGUGCGACGUGAAAGCCCCGGGCUUAACCUGGGAAUGGCAUUUGAUACUGGCGAGCUAGAGUUGAGUAGAGGGGAGUGGAAUUUCAGGUGUAGCGGUGAAAUGCGUAGAGAUCUGAAGGAACACCAGUGGCGAAGGCGACUCCCUGGACUCAAACUGACACUGAGGUACGAAAGCGUGGGUAGCAAACAGGAUUAGAUACCCCAGUAGUC